rnacentral:tRNA from 2 species
AGACAUACGCUAACGCACAACGGUUUCGGCCCGUCUCCCAGAAGAUAAUCUUCUUAUGUCUU